UUGCAGCCAGUUAAGCCGAAGGUGCUCUUUUCCCCGUGGGGGCCUGGUGUGCAACGGUUGUGAACAGCAGCCUCCUCGGUAGUGCAUGCAGCCUGUUGCCUGUGCGGGUUGCCCUAAGGGACCUUGGGGAGAGCC
ensembl:snoRNA SNORA70 Small nucleolar RNA SNORA70